rnacentral:rRNA from 1 species
UACAGAGGGUGCAAACGUUGUUCGGAAUUACUGGGCGUAAAGGGCUCGUAGGUGGCCAACUAAGUCAUACGUGAAAUCCCUCGGCUUAACCGGGGAACUGCGUCUGAUACUGGAUGGCUUGAGUUUGGGAGAGGGAUGCGGAAUUCCAGGUGUAGCGGUGAAAUGCGUAGAUAUCUGGAGGAACACCGGUGGCGAAGGCGGCAUCCUGGACCAAUACUGACACUGAGGAGCGAAAGCCAGGGGAGCAAACGGG